rnacentral:misc_RNA from 1 species
CCGCACACGGGACAUACGAACACACGUGGGUGUCUCCGCUCACAUUCGACACGCACAAUCACCCACACAUACGCAGAGCACACGCACACACACAUUCCACCGGGCAGCGCUCCUUCUUUCCCUUCGUGUGCCCACAGGAGCGUGGCACAUCAUACGCAACCCGGUGACGAAGGCGUAGCGCGCCCGUCGGUUGCUCACAUAAAGCAAACGCUAGAAGUGAACGAAGAGUCCCUUCGGCGAGGGAGGGGGGACACGGGGGCACAGAUCGCCGGCGACUGCAAUGUCCUCUCUCGCGACGUGGGAUGACUGCAUCGGGCCUGCCAAGUGGCUCAGCGAGCCGCUGCAGCGCGUUCUGAGCUACCCGAAGCCUUUGCCGGUUCAGCAGGCCGUCAUCCCGACCAUCAUGCGAGCACUCAUGAGCGGUGUGCCGAACGAUGUCAGCCUCACCGCCCCCACCGGGAGCGGUAAAACACUUUGCUACUUAAUCCCAUUAGUACGCCUCCUCACGGAGUUGAAGAAAGGCGUUGAUGAUAACGCGCUGCGCUGCUUGAUUCUCGUGCCAACGCAAGCGCUGGGGCAGCAAGUGUACCGCGAGCUGCAGCGCCUGACGCGUCCAAGCUCGAUCAAAGUCGCGUGCAUCUGUGCCGAGGCCGUGGAUGCAGCAAGGGGCACAUCGACAGAUGUGGAGGCAGCAGAGGCCCGCGAGCUGGUACGGCGAGUCGUGCUGCCUCGUUUUGGCGGCUCCGAGCAGCAUUCCGCGGAUGGAUGCGAUAGUGCUGGCGAAAGUGAGGAAGACGCCGACAUGGUAGACGGCGACGAAGCGGACGGCGGUGACGACGGUCACUGCUUCGCCACGCGUCAGCAACACCGUACGAGGAACACCACCGUACGGUACUUCUCCAACGUCGACGUGAUUGUUUCCACGCCGCAGCGACUUCUUCAUCACCUUGACCACACGCGUGGUCUGCGCCUGGCAAGUCUGCGCUUGUUGGUGAUUGACGAGGCGGACCAGGUGUUGGUCGGUAGCUUCGCCUCGCAUGUGCAGAAGGUGAACGCGCGGUACGAGUUUGAGGUGCAGCAGCAGCAACGACGCCAGCUAAGGCAGCAAGAGCGCAUGUGUGCGCUUCUUGCAUGCGUCAUGUCUUCGAACUUCGCUUCUUCUAGUGAGUCUUCCGUGGCAGCAGCCAUGAUAUCGCCAGCCCCGCUCCAGCGGUUGGGCAGCCUCGGUGGCGCCUCUGCGAAUGCCUUCUUGGCUCGCGGUGGCCCCAUCUUACACAAGGUUCUCUGCUCUGCAACGCUCUCGUCACGCAUCGCACGCAUCUCCAACGUGAAACUGCGCAACUGCAGCUACUACGUCCUCGACAGCAACGGCGAGGAACGCAAGGAGGAAGGGAUGGCGUCGUCGCAGCAGGCAAAUUCGGGGGCAGGCGCGGCAGCAGAUGGUGGCGCGGUGCUGCGCACCCAGUUCGCACUCCCGCCCACGCUGCAGGAGCACAUUAUCUUUGUGGAGGACACAUACCGGCCAGCAGUCCUGCUCAAGUUGGUGCACGCCUUGCGGAGCCGCAUUGCGGCCACAGCUGCACGGAAGCGUGCUUCGGCUGCCGCGCGACGGCUUGCGGCCGGAAUGGCUGUCGAUAAUGGUGACGAUCGUGCUCACAGAGAGGCGGACCUUCCUCGUAUAGCUGCAGCGCAGGACGCCACCAUCGCCUCUGCAUCAUCGUCGUACCCGAACGUGGAGGACAGGGCAGGCACCGGCAUCCUCAUCUUCUGCGCCACCGCAGAGGAGGCGCGUGUCAUGAGUCACUUCCUCGCCGCUGCCGGAGUCUCGUCUGUCGUCGAGUUCACGACUCUUUCCAGCGAGGCAGAGCGACGCCGCGCGCUGCUGGAGCGGACGGCUGGCGCGGACGACACGGAAUCUGGCGCCGAAGCCUCCUGCGUCGUAGCCUCAGACGCUCUUAUGCGCGGCAUCGACAUCCCGAACGUGGGCCAUGUCAUUAUGUACCACCCGCCUGAAGCUGUGUCGCAGUACGUGCAUCGCGCCGGGCGCACGGCGCGCGCGAUGCGGCCCGGCCACGUGCACCUGCUGCUGAGCAAGACAGGGUCGAGCGGCAAGCAGGAGGACGGCGAGAUGGCGCUGUACAAGCGGCUGUCUCGGUCACUUUUGCGAACGCUUCCGGUGUCGUAUGAGCGAGGCUUCUUCCGAUUUGCGGAAGCGCCGUCCGCCGGCGCGGCAACCUCAGCAACCAGUGCCGAUGCCACAGCAGCCGCUGAGGAGGUUGGCUCUGCCGAGUGGUGGGUGGCUCAAGCCGGUCAGUUUCUCGUACAAUCCCAGCAUCAGCUACAGCGUCGGUGGGCCUCAGUUCUGGAGUCUGCCGCCACAGCGGCCGCAGCGAAGGCGAAAGCUACUGCUGCCGCGAGCAAAGGCCGCUCCACAGCAGCGGCCAUCAUGACCCCCAGUAGGGGCGCGGAUUCAAGCCAGAUGGAGGCAUCCCCAGGGAGGAAGCGAGACCGCAGCGUUGUCUCUAGCACAGCCAGGGCGAUGCCAGCGGCGGUGGGCAGUGGCUUGAGGGCGCGAUGGCUCCGGUGAGAGGGUGCAGCCGUUUCCUCUGGCGCGAAGGACGGUGCUCUUGAGAAGCUGAAGAGAGAGGAGGGAAAGGGUGGUGAAGCGGAGGAGACGGUUGUGAUCUUCGCCCGGUCUCCACCCAACCGGCAAACACACACACACACACACACACACACACACAUGCGUACAUAUACAUACAUGCUGAUAAGCACGUCAGCUUCUCCGAGACUUUCUGUCUUCUCGUCCCCUCUCACGCACGCACGCACACACAUCGCAGCCCUGGAACCGAAGUAACGGCAGACUUUGUGUGUUUCUUUCCUUCGAGCUUCGAGGACGACAUCGAUCGAAGGACGUGUUCGCGAGCCGAUCUGUAACGGAGCGCCUGCUUGAGCGGUCUCUGAGCCUUUUAAGUGUGCAUGCUAAUCCGAAGAGUCCAGCGUAAUCCACGGACAAAGAGACG